GGGGAGAUUCGUUCUCAUUUUUCUACUGCUCGUGGUAAGUGGCUUCGUGGUCUUUAUAGCUGUUACUCUUUUGUACUUUGUCUUUUUCUUUUAUUUUCUUUUGAGCGAUUGUGCGAACAUAGCAUAGCACGCACUAUGCCUUCUGUGUUGUAGCUGCCUGGCCAGGGCGACUGGCGGAUAAGGUCUUGUGCGUGGCCUCGAGGCUUAAAAGUAGCAGUGGGGCUUUGUGAAGGACAAAAUGGCGAUGGCGGGCCGUGUAGGUCCCCCUUCCUAUGAUGAGGACCUUUUCACAGACCUGUACUGAGCUCCGUGAGGAUAAAUAACUCUGAGGAGAUGGGCCCUGCAAGCCUCUUGCUUAGCCGUCUGUUCAGAAAAUAGCGUUUUCGAAAUGCCCUGAGUUGACCUAAUGUCUUAUUGGGCUCCUGUCUGCAGGAUUUACGCGCACGUUGGAACCGAAGAGAGCUCUGUUGUUGCAGUAAGUUCUUACGGCCAUUUCUUAAUCUCUGCUCUUUCGUUGAGUGUGUGGAAGUUGCUACGGGGAUGAUUUUACGAACUGAACUCUCUCUUUCUGAUGGAUUAGUGGAGAAAACAGAAAAUUCUGAGUAGCACUGUACUGUACGCAACAAAUGUCAGGGCCCUAUUGAUUUGUCUGAGGUGUUAGUGAAGGGUGUUAUUUUUUCAGAUGUUCAGCCCACAAGAGCUUACUGGUGAAGGAAUGGGACAAGACCCAUCUUUAUGCAAAGCCAGCGUUACAGUAAUGUUCCAGGUAGGUGUACAUGGUUUAUGCUCUUACAGAGGAGACCUUGUAGAUAACCACUCCAUGAUGAACACAAAAUGACAAGCAUAUGGCUGAACUUUCAAGUGAUGUCAUCUUACUACUGAGAAGUGAGAGAGAGGUCUUAAGGGGUCUUUGAAUGACUAUUUUUAGGUACAUAAAAUGCUUUCCUCUGUUGUCUACAGCAUCUCAUAAUCUAUCCUGGGGAAUUCAGCUGCCUCCCAGGGUGAAUACAGGUAAUUAUCCAAAUUGGUGUAUGUCAUCUUUGUAAAUGUUCAAGAAAACAAGUGGCCGGCGGAACAAUGUUUUUUGGCGCCUUCCAUCUUGUUCCUCUUGAAAUGAUUUUCUGGGGAGGGAGAUCGCAACCCGGUACUACAGUUCUUGUAAGGGUGUGCUGUUACCCUCAUCCAUAUAUCGAUCACGUUACUGUCAGAUGAUUUGAAUUGAUAAGCUGAUGUUCUGUGAGGUACAAAAGUUAAUAGCAUGUUAGAGUUCUGAUGGCAGUUGUUGUUUAUGAAUAAGCUUCAUUCCAUCCUAAUACCUUAAAAUAACUAAUUUGCUUUCCUUUCCAGGUAUUCCUGAUGACAGUCUGCCUCUAUCUUACAGUAAGUUGUUUUUCGAAUUCUAUGGGCCUAUUAUCUAAUAGAUAACUUAGCCAUUUUGAUAUUUGUUACCAAAGCCUGCUUAACCCAUAAAGUUUUCUGGUUCCUCUUGUUCUCUGUAGUGAUGUUUCUAGAUAGAUGCCCACUGAUAUAUGCCCCUUUUUUCUCAGAUAGAUGCCCACUGAUCUGCCCAGGGUCAGACGAAUGCUUGUCAGUUGUAGCUUUCCAGGAUUCUGCUCCAAUGAGGAGGAAACAUCCUGCCUUACCCCUGUUUUAGCCUGGGAACCAGUAAUUGUGAACUCACCAGGGUUAACAUGAAGAGGGCAUGAGAGCUUAUUCCAUAAGGAAUUGUCUGAGACAUUUGGUUACCUUUUCUUAGUUUGUCCAUUAGCAACCGUAACUAAAAUAGUUUUGGCUGUUUGGGAUAAUUAGCUAAUUGAAUGAUUUUUUGAUUCAGGAGCAGCUUGUUGCUAUAUACCAUUGAAAAGCCUUCAGAGCUGAGAGGUUAGUUGAUAUUUUUUGUUCCUUACAGCUUAUGCCACCAAGUAGGCAGUUUCUAUGAUGAAUCAAACUAGCUCACUAUGACCGACAGUGAAAAUACAUGAACACCUGAGAAACUGGAGAACGCAGGGAGUGGGGGGUAACCAUGUCUGAGGAAUCUUUCACCCACAGCUUUGUUUUUCUCUAGGUACUACUAACCAAUAACCUGCUUGGCUCAAAGGUGAGUAAUUUCACGGUAUUCAAUGCACUCAGUAUAUAGGGUAGGAAAAAGUGCCUUUUUAGGCCUGUGUUUGUGAUGACUUACAUGGAAUCUCGUUCGGCUGAUGACUUGCUGUUGAGACUCUGAAAUCUGAUUUUCUGAGAAUGAUGGGUGGGAACAACAUAAUGCGGGAUAUGAGAAGCACUACUGACUUGGUCUUCCUCCUUUCAGGGCCAGCACCUUCUCUCUAAAGCCCAAGAGGAGUUUGAGGUAAAUGGCUUUGCAAUAGUUACCAUCAAUGGCUGCUAUAUAAAAUUUUCUGUGAUUUUUGUGUGUGAUAGCACUGUGGUCUGGGUGAAUGUACACAGACAUAACUGGCUUAACCCAAAGUCUUUGAUCUCCUGAACCACCAGUGAUGAAUUGCUGCUCACCAGUGAUGAGUUGAAUACCGCCCCAGUCUGAUCAAUGUGUGACUGAAAGGUAUUUUCUGAGCUGUGAGCCUGCCUUCCAGUGACAUGUUCUAAAAAUUGCAAGUUAUUUGAGGAGGCUUUACAGCCAAUAGGAAGUUCUUGGGCUAAGUAGUGUUUCCUAUAAAAUGUGCCCUGAAACUUCUUUCUGCCAAGCAAUAGAUACAAUUGAGAGAUUGUAAAAUGUGACAUAGAAUGAAAGUCUCUCAAGACUACAUUUUUCUUUCUUGAUUUUGCAGGAAAACUAGGUGUCUGUGUUCACUCCAGGCUGAAGUUACAGGUGAGUAAACCUAAAUGUAAGGUGGACUAUGCUAAAAAUUCCCAAUGAAGAAACUUUCACAUGUCUUACUCUCUGUCCUAGUCCCAGAGCCUGUAAAGGUGAACCCACUGGGACUGGCUGGGGGAGAAGAGGAAGAUUUGUUCCAGAAGGAACUGUCUGAGGGAUGAUAAAGAUUUCUAUACAGAGAAAGGGAGUAAUCAUCACUUGUUGAAAACAUUGGUUUUAUUUUUUCCAGGUCUGAGCAAAUAAGGUGUAUAAAAAAUGGAAUCUGUCUUGGAGGACAUCAGAAGGUGAAUUUUCCAAGUUCUUGGACAACCUAGCUGUUGAAAAGCUUUCUGGGUUUGGGGGGUAUUUCAGAUGUACCUUAAAGUGUUAGCAGACACAGAUUAAGACACUGGGAGCCAAUGAAACAGCAGUUGAGGGUUUGCUGUGUAUCACAUUUCUGUAUUUUAUCACCCCCUUCCUGCAACAUUAUUUAUCUGGAAUCUACCUGCCCUUUUGUUUUUUAGAUACAAGGGCUUGGUUUUGUUACCCAGGCUGGUUUCAAGGCCAUAGCUUUAAGAGAUCCUCUCACCACAGAUUUCCAAAGUGCUGGGAUUGCAGGUGUGAUUCAUGGCACCCAGACUUUGCUGCCUUUCUUACAUGAUCCAGGCCCAGAACCCAAACUCAGGCACUGUAUAGAUGACCACUUUCGUAAACUACUGACCUAGCUUGUUGCCAAUUGUUGAUUGAACUUCCCAUAACUCCACUUCGUGUCUGUUCCUCUGUAUACAGCCACCUUCUGUUCCCGUCAUGAGCCUUUAGGUCUCCAUUUGCAUAUUGCAAAUACUAUGUUCCAUGUAGGUAGCUCAUUCAGGGCCUUGCUCUUCACUUCAAAAAAGGUUCCCUUGAGGACUGGCUGUCAAUUUGUGUUGCUGUGUUGGUUGUUGAUGAAAAUAAUAAAAUGA
ensembl:lncRNA SNHG1 small nucleolar RNA host gene 1